AUUGAACGCUGGCGGCAGGCCUAACACAUGCAAGUCGAGCGGCAGCGGGAAAGUAGCUUGCUACUUUUGCCGGCGAGCGGCGGACGGGUGAGUAAUGCCUGGGAAAUUGCCCAGUCGAGGGGGAUAACAGUUGGAAACGACUGCUAAUACCGCAUACGCCCUACGGGGGAAGGCAGGGGACCUUCGGGCCUUGCGCGAUGGGAUAUGCCCGGGUGGGAUUAGCUAGUUGGUGAGGUAAUGGCUCACCAAGGCGACGAUCCCUAGCUGGUCUGAGAGGAUGAUCAGCCACACUGGAACUGAGACACGGUCCAGACUCCUACGGGAGGCAGCAGUGGGGAAUAUUGCACAAUGGGGGAAACCCUGAUGCAGCCAUGCCGCGUGUGUGAAGAAGGCCUUCGGGUUGUAAAGCACUUUCAGCGAGGAGGAAAGGUUGAUGCCUAAUACGCAUCAACUGUGACGUUACUCGCAGAAGAAGCACCGGCUAACUCCGUGCCAGCAGCCGCGGUAACAC
rnacentral:rRNA from 1 species